UUAUAAUUUGGCUCUGUAAUGGGAUGGGAUCCGAAGCCCCUUUGAGGGAUAAUACAGGCUCUCCCAUCCAACUCCUAUUCCGACACGUCCUCGUCGUGCAGAGUGGUAACAUGUGCC
rnacentral:ribozyme from 1 species